rnacentral:rRNA from 1 species
AGUGAACGCUGGCGGUAGGCCUAACACAUGCAAGUCGAACGGCAGCACAGGAGAGCUUGCUCUCUGGGUGGCGAGUGGCGGACGGGUGAGGAAUACAUCGGAAUCUACUUUUUCGUGGGGGAUAACGUAGGGAAACUUACGCUAAUACCGCAUACGACCUACGGGUGAAAGCAGGGGCCCUUCGGGCCUUGCGCGAUUGAAUGAGCCGAUGUCGGAUUAGCUAGUUGGCGGGGUAAAGGACCACCAAGGCGACGAUCCGUAGCUGGUCUGAGAGGAUGAUCAGCCACACUGGAACUGAGACACGGUCCAGACUCCUACGGGAGGCAGCAGUGGGGAAUAUUGGACAAUGGGCGCAAGCCUGAUCCAGCCAUACCGCGUGGGUGAAGAAGGCCUUCGGGUUGUAAAGCCCUUUUGUUGGGAAAGAAAUCCAGCUGGCUAAUACCCGGUUGGGAUGACGGUACCCAAAGAAUAAGCACCGGCUAACUUCGUGCCAGCCGCCGCGGUAA